AAAGGACAAUAAUUGUUUGUGUAAAAUGCAAUAACAAAUAUGAACACUAACUUUGGCUAGGUUUUGUGGCUACUAAAAAAGACUGGACAUAACCCAUUUUAAAUACUCUGGGUUGUCUACUUGUCUACAAAUUGUAUGCCAUGAUGGAGGUAAUUUUCAUUCAUAGGCUGCCAUAUGGUCUAAAAGGCAACGCUAUGAAAUAUGUACAUGUGGGCAACAUUGGAGCAGAGCAGCUAGCAGCAGAUAUUGCAGCUCCUGCCCUUGACCUGGACCUGGCCAGCCUGGUCCCCACUGGACCCCAGGGAAGCCACUCACACUGCUACAUAUAUACAGAUCUGGAGAAUAAGCCUCACCCUCAUACACAUAAUACAAACAGCCCACACAGCAACACACUAGCACAUGGACAACCCCACUAAAAAUCCACUUGCAUGCACACAACCCCACUCUCACAUGCAAUACCACACACUACCUAACACACAAUGUGACAUAUCAUCCACACACACACAAUUACACAAGCAUCCCCCAUACACAGACCAAAUUAAUAUCAUACACAAUAACACAGACUACUCAUGAAAAUAUACAAUAUUAUAGCCCACAUAUGCACAAAUAACACAAACACAAUGCGGC